UGGCGGACGGGUGGAGUAACGCGUGGAAAACCUGCCGUAUACUGGGGGAUAACACUUAGAAAUAGGUGCUAAUACCGCAUAAGCGCACAGCUUCGCAUGAAGCGGUGUGAAAAACUCUGGUGGUAUACGAUGGUUCCGCGUCUGAUUAGCUAGUUGGUGGGGUAAUGGCCUACCAAGGCAACGAUCAGUAGCCGGCCUGAGAGGGUGAACGGCCACAUUGGGACUGAGACACGGCCCAAACUCCUACGGAAGGCAGCAG
rnacentral:rRNA from 1 species